rnacentral:lncRNA from 1 species
UUUUAAUCUCAAUACUACCGAAGGGUUGAUCAAAUUUUGUACUUAUCAAUUGAAAUUUGAAUUGUGCUAUUUUUAGGCAGUAGUAUAUUUGUUUAAUUUUUUCGAUCUUGGUUUUUGCUUCCAAAUUAUGCUUUUUGAUCUAUUUUGUUCUUGUCUUCUUUAUGUCAUUCUAAGCAGUUAGCCGGUGUGGGACUGAAAUUGUGUGGGAUUGUUCUUGUCUUGUUUAUGUCAUUCUAGGUACUGGGAUUAUUCUUGUCCUCCAAAUUAAUUUGAACAUUGCAGUUACUUAACUUAACUGUGUUCUAUCGUUUGUUUUCAUUGUAGAACGGGAGGGAGGAAUAUUGGGAUAUGUCAUAAUUGCUGAGCUAAAGAUCACUUCUUCGCUGGUUGCCCACAAAAAGGCCAAUGCCUUAAGUGCAAAAAUGGAUUCGAGAAGUGUUUUGUAGUGGAGAAGGAAACAAUGAAUAAAAGGCAACUAUUUUUUUGUUGCAGUGAAAAAUGUGGGUUUUGGGACUGGGUUGUGAAAGAACAAUCAAGUGGUCAUUUAUGUGGUGACACCGCUUCUUCAAUUAACCAUGCGACGAAUAAAGUUGUUGAAGAAAUGUCACAUACGUUCCAUCAAAGAGUUCGCCUCACUGAUGAAGAAUACCUAAAGAUUUCAGUGAACGUGAUAAUAUGCAAGGGAAAUGGUAGUGUGGAGGCAGAUGCAAAAGGGAAGGGGUCAAUCUAAUUGUUUGAUAAAUCUUAGUUCUUGGGGUGUGACAUAACUUUUGUAUAUUAGUAUGUUAUUAUGCACAACUUUAUGUGGAUGUAGUUCGUGAAUGAUGGUUUUCAAUUUAUGGUGGUCUGAUAAUAAUCAUAGAGAAAUGCUGGUUGUUACUACUCUCUCAUUUGCAUUCGGUUUAUACCAGUGGUUGCUA